rnacentral:rRNA from 1 species
UGCGCAGGUGGUUUGGCAAGUUUGAUGUGAAAGCCCCGGGCUUAACCCGGGAAUGGCAUUGAAUACCGCUGAACUGGAGGAUUGGAGGGGGGACUGGAAUUCUUGGUGUAGCAGUGAAAUGCGUAGAUAUCAAGAGGAACACCAGUGGCGAAGGCGAGUCCCUGGACAAUACCUGACACUGAGGCACGAAAGCUAGGGGAGCAAACA